rnacentral:misc_RNA from 1 species
GAAAUGCGAUAAGUAAUGUGAAUUGCAGAAUUCAGUGAAUCAUCGAAUCUUUGAACGCACAUUGCGCACGCCAGCACUCUGGCGGGCAUGCCUGUUCGAGCGUCAUUUCAACCCUCAGAACCCCUUGCGGGAUCUGGCGUUGGGGAUUGGCAUCCAGCCAGCCCCGAAAUCUAGCGGCGGUCCCUCCGCGACCUCCCCUGUGCAGUAGCGAUACCUCGCAGCGGGACAGCGGUCUGACCACGCCGUAAAACCCCCAACUUCUCAAGGUUGACCUCGAAUCAGGUAGGAAUACCCGCUGAACUUAAGC